rnacentral:rRNA from 1 species
UACGUAGGGACCAAGCGUUGUUCGGAUUUACUGGGCGUAAAGGGCGCGUAGGCGGUCGUGACAAGUCACUUGUGAAAUCUCCGGGCUUAACUCGGAACGGUCAAGUGAUACUGUCGGACUAGAGUACAGAAGGGGCAACUGGAAUUCUCGGUGUAGCGGUGAAAUGCGUAGAUAUCGAGAGGAACACCUGCGGCGAAGGCGGGUUGCUGGGCUGAUACUGACGCUGGAGGCGCGAAAGCUAGGGGAGCGAACGGGG